rnacentral:misc_RNA from 1 species
GAUGAAGAACGUAGCGAAAUGCGAUAAGUAAUGUGAAUUGCAGAAUUCAGUGAAUCAUCGAAUCUUUGAACGCACCUUGCGCCCUUUGGCUAUUCCGAAGGGCAUGCCUGUUUGAGUAUCAUGAACACCUCAACUCUCAUGGUUUGCCAUGAUGAGCUUGGACUUUGGGGGUCUUGCCGGCCUAUGGGUCGGCUCCUCUCAAAUUAAUCAGCUUGCCAGUGUUUGGUGGCAUCACAGGUGUGAUAACUAUCUACGCUUGUGGUUUUCCAUCAGGUAACCUUCAGUGAUGGAGGUUCGCUGGGGCUCAUAAAUGUCUCUCCUCAGUGAGGACAGCUUUUUUGAACGUUUGAUCUCAAAUCAGGUAGGACUACCCGCUGAACUUAAGCAUAUCAAUAGGCGGAGGA